GAUAGAAGGGUUAGGAUUCGAUCUAUGCCAAAAUUUUAAAGAUUUGGGUAGAUCCUUGAAGACGAAGUAAAAAUCUGUCGUUGUAAAUCGAAACAAGUAAUGGAGAAUUGCUGUUAUUUUAGAUUUCUAUAUAUACACGGUUUGUAAGGAUCAUUGCAUUCAUUGUUGUGGCUUAAUCCAUAUGGACCAUUGCAUUCAUUGUUGCGGUUCAAUCCAUAUGGUGUUUUUCUCUAUUUCAUCAUCAGCUUGUUUUGAUGGGUAUGCUCAUGCUUAUUUCAUUUCUUCUUCUAAACAUAAAUUAUCUGUUGGAGUCUCCACAUAUUCUCAUAUGAAAGAGGAGCUUUAAGUAUGUAAUUGUGUUUCAGUUUUAAGCUUCAAAUUUCAAAGGCACCAACAAUUAAAGCUCCACUUUCAAAUGAGAUUAUGCGAGAAUCCAACAAAUAAUUUAUAUUCAAAAGAAAUGAAUAUAGAUAUGAAUCUAGAGUUGAGAAUGAUGUGAGAAUCACUGAAAAAGAAGAUUGAAACAGCAGCUAUAAGGAAACUGGUUUUGAUUGAUCUCAUUCUAUGAAAAUUUCAGCAUUUGUAGGGUUUUGUGAUAUUUUUCAUGGGAACUCUACCCAUUUUUCUCAUAAAAAAUUUGUGCAGAAUCUGUGCUUUUCUUUCUGGGAACACCUACGGGGAUGGAUCAGUUUUGUUGUGAUUAAUUUCGUUCUACAACAAUUCUGUGUUUAUCUGCUGAAUAUAUGGCAUUGGUUCUGUGGAUUUAUCUAAGGCUGUUUCAAUAUAAGGUGUUAGUGUUAUAUCUCUAUUUGUUUCUUCAGUUGAAUGGUUCUAAAUGAGGAUCACGUCUUACACAGUGCAAGGCUCCAACAUCAUAAGGAUGAGGCCACUAUCAUUCCUUGGCUCUUACCUCAAGAGGUUUCACCCUGUAGGCUUGUCUUGGGUGCAUUCUGCUUGUCUUACUUGUCUUAUUAGUAUGAUAUAAGAUUUUGACUAAUUCAUUGGAAAUUUUUUAGUAGAAUGAUGUAAGAUUUAGACUUAUUUAGUGAAAGUUUUAUUGUAUUUUUAUAAUAUUAUCAUAAACAACAUAAUUUUA